UCAGCACUCUGUGAAAUAUGGAUUUAUUAUCAGCCCUGUUGUACAGUUGGAGAAUUAAAACUAAAUGCGCUAUCCAGUUUCUGGCAACGGUGCCAGCAUGGGAAAUCAAAUCUAUGCUGAGUCCCAUCCUACAACCUUAAACAGAUCAGGUAUGAUGUGACCUUAGUGAUUUUGGGAAACCCAAGAGACUCUACUAGACUUCCAGGUCAAAGCAAAUAGUAACUUCCUGAAGCUCCAAAGUGAAAGCAAGGAGCAGUUUCUGGGAGAAGGAAUGCUGAGGACAUGGUGAAAUGAUCUAUAAUGUCCCAUGCCUCUGGAAGUAUACCCAUUUUUAGCAGUUAUCUCAGCUUUACACACAGCAGAGAUAGCUAUGGCAAAUAUGAGCAUUGAAGAAAUGAGGCUGCACACACCGUGAUUCAAUUCUGUCUGCCCCACUCAUCACACAGGAACUGUGUACAACAUUGGAUCAGAAGAUCACUGUAGGAUUGAUGAAGCUGAUGCAUCUGCAGUUUCCUUUGGACAUCACCACUGAUGUGUGCUGAUGUCUACGUCUUACUCCAAGCUUUGGAGGCAGCUUCUACAGCAAGAACUGAAGGCCUGUGGACAUCCAAGUAUUCUGAUGCACAGCAUAUACCAGCUAACUUUUACAGUGCUGUGACUUCACUGUUUUCAUCAGAA
rnacentral:lncRNA from 1 species